rnacentral:rRNA from 1 species
CCCUUAGAUGUCCUGGGCCGCACGCGCGCUACACUGAACGGAUCAGCGCGUUUUCCCUUCCCGAGAGGGACGGGUAACCUGCUGAACCCCGUUCGUGGUAGGGAUCGGGGCUUGCAAUUAUUCCCCGUGAACCAGGAAUGCCCAGUAAGUGCAAGUCAUAAGCUUGCGUUGAUUACGUCCCUGCCCUUUGUACACACCGCCCGUCGCUACUACCGAUUGAACGUUUUAGUGAGGUACUCGGACUGAGCCUCAGAAGAUUCACGUCUUUUGUGCUGCUCGGGAAGAUUCCCAAACUUAAGCGUUUAGAGGAAGUAAAAGUCGUAACA